AAACCAUACAUAGGAAAUUUCCGUAGCAACUCCUUAAAUCGUUCCCAAGCCUCAUAUAAGCUUUCAUCAUCCAUUUUCUUGUAAGUUGCAAGCUUAUUUCUAAUCUU